rnacentral:rRNA from 1 species
UAAUACGGAGGAUCCAAGCGUUAUCCGGAUUUAUUGGGUUUAAAGGGUGCGUAGGCGGCUUAGUAAGUCAGGGGUGAAAGACGGUGGCUCAACCAUCGCAGUGCCUUUGAUACUGCUGAGCUAGAAUGUAGAUGAAGUAGGCGGAAUGUGACAAGUAGCGGUGAAAUGCAUAGAUAUGUCACAGAACUCCAAUUGCGAAGGCAGCUUACUAAGGUACAAUUGACGCUGAUGCACGAAAGCGUGGGGAUCAAACAGGAUUAGAUACCCUGGUAGUCCACGCCCUAAACGAUGAAUACUCGAUGUUGGCGAUAUACAGUCAGCGUCUAAGCGAAAGCGUUAAGUAUUCCACCUGGGGAGUACGCCCGCAAGGGUG